UACCUCGUUGACCGGAAGAGUUUCCUUCCGGUCACCGAGGAUGUACCUCGUUGAUUGGAAGGAAACCCUUCUGAUCAGCGAGGUA
rnacentral:miRNA from 1 species